ACCCUUGUGUAUUUAUGCGAGAUUGCUUUGGCUAGCGAUAGCCGGAGACUACAACCAAACUAAUUUUUUUACAAUGCUGUCACACAACAACAUAAUAUUUAAAACUUUCAACAACGGAUCUCUUGGUUCUCGCAACGAUGAAGAACGCAGCGAAU
rnacentral:rRNA from 1 species